UUUGAAGGAAAAAAAAUUAUGUACUUACCUACAGUAAUAGGGAAUUAUGAGGGCACUUUAGAUUGGGAACACAUUCUAUUACUU